GGGCGCGUAGCUCAGUGGUAGAGCAGGUUCCUCUUAAGAACAAGGUCGUGGGUCCGACCCCCACCGCGCUCA
rnacentral:tRNA from 1 species